GAUGAACGCUGGCGGCGUGCCUAAUACAUGCAAGUCGAGCGAACAGACGAGGAGCUUGCUCCUCUGACGUUAGCGGCGGACGGGUGAGUAACACGUGGAUAACCUACCUUUAAGACUGGGAUAACUUCGGGAAACCGGCGCUAAUACCGUAUAAUAUAUUGAACCGCAUUGUUCAAUAGUGAAAGACGGCUUUUCUGUCACUUAUAGAUGGAUCCGCGCCUCAUUUGCUAGUUGGUAAGGUAACGGCUUACCAAGGCAACGAUUAGUAGCCGUCCUGAGAGGGUGAUCGGCAAAACUGGAAUUGAGAAACGGUCAAGACUCCUAAGGGAGGAAGAAGUAGGGAUUCUUCCGAAAGGGGCGAAAGCCUGACGGAGAAAGGCGGGGUGAGGGAUGAAGGUUUUCGGAUCGAAAAACUCGGUGAAAAGGGAAGAACAAAGGUGGAAGUAAAAAUGCACGUCGUGACGGUACCUAAUCAGAAAGCCACGGCUAACUACGUG
rnacentral:rRNA from 1 species